GAUGAAGAACGCAGCGAAAUGCGAUAAGUAGUGUGAAUUGCAGAAUUCAGUGAAUCAUCGAAUCUUUGAACGCACAUUGCGCCCCUUGGUAUUCCAUGGGGCAUGCCUGUUCGAGCGUCAUUACGCCCCUCAAGUCCCCUGUGGACUUGGUGUUGGGGAUCGGCGAGGCUGGUUUUCCAGCACAGCCGUCCCUUAAAUUAAUUGGCGGUCUCGCCGUGGCCCUCCUCUGCGCAGUAGUAAAACACUCGCAACAGGAGCCCGGCGCGGUCCACUGCCGUAAAACCCCCCAACUUUUUAUAGUUGACCUCGAAUCAGGUAGGACUACCCGCUGAACUUAAGCAUAUCAAUAAGCGGAGGA
rnacentral:misc_RNA from 1 species